rnacentral:rRNA from 1 species
UACCGGAUGUGAUUACUGGAAGGCAUCUUCUGGUACUUAAAGUCGGGGACCGUAAGGCCUGACGCUUCUCGAUAAGCCCGCGGCCUAUCAGCUAGUUGGUGAGGUAACGGCUCACCAAGGCUAAGACGGGUAGCUGGUCUGAGAGGACGACCAGCCACACUGGAACUGAGACACGGUCCAGACACCUACGGGUGGCAGCAGUCGAGAAUUUUUCUCAAUGGGCGAAAGCCUGAAGGAGCGACGCCGCGUGGGGGAUGAAUGGCUUCGGCCCGUAAACCCCUGUCAUUUGCGAUCAAACCUUACGACCUAACACGUCGUGAGCUGAUAGUAGCGGAAGAGGAAGGGACGGCUAACUCUGUGCCAGCAGCCGCGGUAAUACAGAGGUCCCAAGCGUUGUUCGGAUUCACUGGGCGUAAAGGGUGCGUAGGCGGUCGGGUAAGUCUGACGUGAAAUCUUCACGCUAACUUGGAAACUGCGUCGGAUACUAUUCGGCUAGAGGAAUGGAGGGGAGACUGGAAUACUUGGUGUAGCAGUGAAAUGCGUAGAUAUCAAGUGGAACACCAGUGGCGAAGGCGAGUCUUUGGACAUUUCCUGACGCUGAGGCACGAAAGCCAGGGGAGCAAACGGGAUUAGAUACCCCGGUAGUCCUGGCCCUAAACGGUGCGCAUUUGCUGUAAGAGGAAUCGACCCCUUUUGUGGCGAAGCUAACGCGUUAAAUGCGCCGCCUGGGAAGUACGGCCGCAAGGUUAAAACUCAAAGAAAUUGACGGGGGCCUGCACAAGCGGUGGAGUAUGUGGCUUAAUUCGAUGCAACGCGAAUAACCUUACCUGGCCUUGACAUGCACAUAGUAGAAGCCUGAAAGGGUGACGAGGUAGCAAUACCAGUGUGCACAGGUGCUGCAUGGCUGUCGUCAGCUCGUGUCGUGAGAUGUUUGGGUCAAAGUCCCCGCAAACGAGCGCAACCCC